UCCCUUGCGACUGUGAGCCCCCAGAGAGCAAGACAGACAUGAAAUACCCUGUUGACCAGAUGACAGACGGGCACCUAUUGACCUGACCUCGGCCAUGCCUCCGUCCCUCACGUUACCAGAAAUAAGGUGACGGAAGCACGAGGGCCCCAGAUCCUUAUAAUUAACGCAGUCAGCCAGAGAGAUGGUAGUUCUGAUUUCUUGGGGUUUUGCUUUUUCCAGAAACAUCCCUAUGUUGCUGAACAACUCACCAGAGGAAUUUUAUUUUCACAAGCGAGAAGGUUUGUGGAAUUCUAACCUCUGAAGGUACCAGGAAUCACCCAGAGACGCUCCCUCCCAGGGAAGGGGCUUUGUCACCUCAGCCUCAGGGCCACCCUCCUCAGCGGGGACUCGGGUCCGGUCCCGUGUGAGCCCGGCUCAGCUUUGCGUGCUCGGUCCUCAGAGCCGCUGCCGGAGAAGCCCUGAUCCAGUCUGCCCUGGCCCACCGUGCCCUGAAUUUCCCGCAGAUCAACCUGUUAGGGCUCCCUCGAAAGUGAUUUAUUCCUGCGCAGGAGCAGAGUCACGGCCCCAUCUGACAAAGUACACCUGUGCUGAGACGGAGUCAGCGCCCCACGCCCUGGGCCAGACAGUUCACGGGAGACGCCACUGAAUGUCCUCGGGGCUCCUUGUGAAAUGAUAAAUGGCACAUUUGGGGGGUUUAUUUUCUAUCAUCGUGCCUACAAUUUAUUGAGCAUCUCCCGCGAGCUAAAUCCGUGACGUCUGUUUCCUCUUGUGAACGAGCAAGCCAACAUGGAGGGAGGUGUUAGCAUCCCCCUUGCCUGGUCGAAAGAGCUGAAGCUCAGAGAGGUUGCAUAAUUUCCCCAAAGUCAGCCAGCCAAAGGGGUUAGAACCCCAGAUGAGGAGGGAAAUCGUCCUAACUGCAGACGUCUGGGUUCAGCCCUGGGACGUUCUUGUUCAGAAGUCUUGGGAGACCCAGAAAUGGUCUGGGCAUUGCAGGCAACCUCCCGGCCAGGCUUGGGCCACUGGUGGAAACCCUGCAGUUCCGGGUUUAGACCCAGAGCUCUUCCGGGGUCUGUAUCCUCGCCGUCUCGCUGCUACAUUUCAGAAUCGAGACACGUAUAUCGUGAUGGUCUCUGUUGCUUGGACGUUUAGGUAGAAUUUAUUUUCUUAUCUGAUUUGCCUCAGAAUUGACAUUUUGAAGAGUGGGUCCUGCCUCUGGUUUUUUUGCUUGUUUGUUUGCUUUUGUGUUUCUGUUUUGUGGCUGUGUUGGGUCUUCAUUUCUCCGCAGGCUUUCUCUAGUUGCGCAGAGCAGGGGCUACUCUUAGUUGCGGUGCGCGGGCUUCUCAUUGCAAUGUCUUCUCUUGUUGCGGAGCACAGGCUCUAGGUGCGCGGGCUUCAGUAGUUGUGGCAUGUGGGCUCAGUAGUUGUGGCUCGUGGGCUCUAGAGCACAGGCUCAGUAGUUGUGGCGCAUGGGCUUAGUUGCUCUGCAGCAUGUGGGAUCUUCCUGGACCGGGAAUUGAAUCCGUGUCCCCUGCAUUGGCAGGCGGAUUCUUAACCACUGCACCACCAGGGAAGUCCCAGCAUUUUAUCUGACAUUAACCAACUUAGCCACGGUUUACUCACCACUCACUUCAUGUAUUUAAGGUUUUUCUUGAGGAGACUAAGGGUCCUCAAAGCUGAGUCCUGCUUCACAUCACCCACGAGUGUCCAGCAUCUUCCAGAAUCUGGGUCAUGGGGUCCAUCCGUGCCGUGUGUAUAUCCCGACCACCAAAUACACCACACAUGGGACUCGAUAUUGAAUUAAAGAUUAGGUGACCAAUCAAUGAGUCUUUGGGUUCCUGACCAAAUCUUUCCACCAUAAAUUGUAGAAUCUCGACGUUUUAAUGAACCAAGUAGGAAGCCCACUUCUUCAGGUCAGAGGUCAGAGGUGAUUCAGGUUGAGGGGCUGCUGUGCUUUGCUGGUGGUGACUGAGCCCUUGAGACGGGGCACACGGGGCUGUCAGAUCUCCUGGUGACACGACCACGCCACGUACCACGGGACCUUCUCAUAUUAAAUCACGUUGUGACCUGCUGUGAUCCCAGCAGGUGUUCCCCAGGAGACGCUCCCAUUCUCAUCCGAGCCCACGAACACCUGGGACAGGAGUCCGUGGAAACUCCCGCCUCCCCCAGGUGGCUGCCGGACUGAGGACACGGGGGGAGGAAGCUGCCACACGGGGUGAGAAUUGGGCUGCGUCUGCCUGCGAUGCUGACACCAUGAUGCUCGAGGACGCAGGAUGGUCCAAAGUCCGGGGACCGAGCAGCUGGCUCCCCUCCUGCGGCUGGAUCCCGGCUUUCCUUUAUCCGCAGGGAGCAUCUGACGGUGCUGAGGGCAUCGUGGGUGUCGUGUCCUUACAACGCCGCUCCCGUCGUAACAGAUGGACUCUGUCUUUUCCUCACUGGCGUUCGUCUUCCGUAUGACGUUUCUUCCAGCUGGAAGAGGAGUUGACUGGACCCUCUUAGCAGUCAGGGCUUUGGUCGUAGUUGGAUGUCGGCAGGGAAGUGAUGGCCUGUUUGGAUGAAGAGUCAGCGGAAGUGACGGCUGGGCUGUUACUCUGACGAGAAAACAUGGGACCCGAAUAUGGUGAAGUUUGUCCCUGCCCAGCUGCCCUGUGAACACGGUUCUGUGCCAGGGAUGGCAAGUGCCCUCCUGGAGCCUCAGAUCUGCAUGAACACGGCCCCAGUGGCACGGUAGGCUCGCCGUGGCUCCACGGGGUCAUCCCAACUCCCAACCCCCUUCCAGGUUUAAGCCUGAAAAGCUGACACGUGGUUAGAACCUGGGCUCAGCCGUCAAAGCCCCAGAUGGGCAGCCGCGGAAAUCCACAGGGUCUUCCUUGCUCUCCAGUCCAGGAAGUGCAAAAUCCGGUCCCGUUUUUGUUAGUUUUUGCCAGAUGGUCUUUCAACAUUAGAACAUAAGUCACACCGUGUCACUAGAUCCCGGGGACCUCCCCAUUCAGGACCAGGGUCAGAGCGCUCAGGAGGGUCCCGGGACCCUCUGUGGGGGGAGCCCCUUACCCCUCCCACAGGUCACUCGGUGCCGCUGCCGCAGCCGCCUCCCUCCUCCGGGACAUGGCCAGGCCUCCCCAUGCUCCGUCAGCGGUCAGCCAGGAGCCCUGUCCCCGUGCCAGGCCAGCCCCUGCCCCCCUUUGUGCCCCUGCGCCCGCCACCCGCUCCGCCGGGCCGUGUCUGGGCGCCCCUUCUGGAAUCCCGAUGGCCUGGAGGGCACAGAGGGGCACGUUCGCGCUCAGCCCAUCCCGCCUCCCCGCCACCAUGCACCCUGUGUUUUCUGUCGCCCGCCCGACAGGACGACACGGCUCCUUUAAGACGCGGCGGCCUGCGCGUAAGGCUUCGCCGGCACGUGACGACGCACCGAGCAUGCGCUCAGCAAAGCCCGGCGCAGAACCCGCGGGGCCGCGGCGCUGCCGCCGGGCCGGGGCCCCCGGCGCCACGCCCGGAGCAAAGCCCGUCACUGUGUUAGUCCCGAGGCCUCCGCCACCGCCGCGAAGCCCCUUCCCAAGGCUCUCGGGGCCCCAAGCCUCAGGCGGUGGCGGCAUGUUUCCGAGGCUGCGCCUCGUGCCCCAGGGUCUGUGACCUUCCUACGAGGAGCCGUCAGCGGGCCCGGGACGCUCCUGCGACCGGCAGUGGGCGAGCGAACGGAGGCCACACACGUCUCUCCUGCCACCUGGAAGUCGCCUCGGCGUCGGGCGGCCAGCGGCGCAGGACGCCGGGGCGGAGCCUGCCGCCCUCAGCCCGUCUGCUCCAGGCCCAGCCCGGCUCCCGGCCCUCCCGUCUCCGGGCCGUCCGGCUUCCUCACAGGUUGGUGAUGGCAACAUUACGUCGUUCCGUGAAUUUCCUGGUUGGAGAUCUCCGCAUAGAUGUCAUCUUAAAGAUCAUUGAGACCAUCGACAUCAUUGUAAAAUGUAGAUUAGCACGACUGACACUAUUUCAGGCCCUCUCUCACUGGGACCAGUUGACCUGGCAAAUGUGUGACCCCAAGGUCAAGCCCUUCAGGGCGGGUGACCUGAAUCAGAAGGGGAGAGGAAAUCUGAGGUCACACGGCCUUCUUGAGAGUCAAGAAGAACUUAAGGGAUACAGAGAUGGUUGUAAGAACGAAAGAAAAGUUAUCCAAUACUUCAGCCCAUUGCAGAAGAGGUCUUAUUUCCAAAAAACCACAAGAAGGUGAUUGGGUUUCCUACAGCUCAGGAACAAGGAGGCAGGAGCUCAGAACUCGAAACUGAAAUAGACAACACAACUGUCCUCCAGUGGCCUUUGGAAAUUUCGCUUCUCAGCUGGCUCCUGUGGUGGGGAGAUGGUUUGGAUCUGCUGCUGCAGGAUUCUUGCCCGAGGCAGCUUUGCGGACAUGCAGUAGCCGCCGCAGAGCCUCCUGCCCUGCCCGUCCCCUCCCGGCCCAUCAGUGACCACGCAGAACCUUGGCCUCCUUCUGCAGAAACAGGCUCCAGCUCCACCCACCCCCGCCCCCACUGCCUGCCAAGCAGAAAUUCUGUAUCAGGGAAGCUACAGAAAAAGGAGGUGGACAUCGUUUCAUCUGGUAGGCCUGAGUCCUGGCCGGGAUUCUCAUUUUUGGUUGAUGGUAUGAAGUUGGUCGAGUUUCCACGUAACUUUCCUCUGGGCCUGCUGAUACGUGUUACCUGACAGAAGAACAUCUUGGGCCAUCUCACGUGACCAUCCACAUAAGAAAGCACCGUGCCUGUCCCGUCUGUGGACCGUCAGCCCCUCUCCAUCCUGCGGGUGGAGGUACCGCACCGGCCGCCAGGCAUGGGGUCUGCUGGGCUCGGCCUGAACGCGCACCCAGCGUCCUUCCUCCCGAAGCAGCCUGCCCGGAAAGGCCAGGCAUCGGCCACGGGGAGCAGCCCGCAGGCUCUGCAGCGCCUGUCCUUCAAGGGGCUGCCUUAAACCGACGGCCACAACCAGGCUGUGAGCUCAGGGCCUUGGGCAGAACCUCACGUUAACGCGACAGGGACAGGC